rnacentral:rRNA from 1 species
UGGGGAAUAUUGCACAAUGGGCGAAAGCCUGAUGCAGCAACGCCGCGUGAGUGAUGAAGGUCUUCGGAUUGUAAAGCUCUGUCUUUUGGGACGAUAAUGACGGUACCAAAGGAGGAAGCCACGGCUAACUACGUGCCAGCAGCCGCGGUAAUACGUAGGUGGCGAGCGUUGUCCGGAUUUACUGGGCGUAAAGGGUGCGUAGGCGGAUGUUUAAGUGAGAUGUGAAAUACCCGGGCUUAACUUGGGUGCUGCAUUUCAAACUGGAUAUCUAGAGUGCAGGAGAGGAGAAUGGAAUUCCUAGUGUAGCGGUGAAAUGCGUAGAGAUUAGGAAGAGCACCAGUGGCGAAGGCGAUUCUCUGGACUGUAACUGACGCUGAGGCACGAAAGGCGUGGGUAGCAAACAGGA